UACAGAGGGUGCAAGCGUUAAUCGGAAUACUGGGCGUAAAGCGUGCGCAGGCGGUUAUGCAAGACAGAGGUGAAAUCCCCGGGCUCAACCUGGGAACUGCCUUUGUGACUGCAUAGCUAGAGUACGGUAGAGGGGGAUGGAAUUCCGCGUGUAGCAGUGAAAUGCGUAGAUAUGCGGAGGAACACCGAUGGCGAAGGCAAUCCCCUGGACCUGUACUGACGCUCAUGCACGAAAGCGUGGGGAGCAAACAGG
rnacentral:rRNA from 1 species